GGUUAAGCGACUAAGCGUACACGGUGGAUGCCCUGGCAGUCAGAGGCGAUGAAGGACGUGCUAAUCUGCGAUAAGCGUCGGUAAGGUGAUAUGAACCGUUAUAACCGGCGAUUUCCGAAUGGGGAAACCCAGUGUGUUUCGACACACUAUCAUUAACUGAAUCCAUAGGUU
rnacentral:rRNA from 3 species